CCUAAUACCCAAAUGACGUCUCUAGAAGACAUCUGAAAGAGAUUAAAGAUUUAUCGGUGAUGGAUGGGGAUGCGUCUGAUUAGCUUGUUGCGGGGUAACGGCCCACCAAGGCAACGAUCAGUAGGGGUUCUGAGAGGAAGGUCCCCCACACUUGGAACUGAGACACGGUCCAAACUCCUACGGGAGGCAGCAGUGAGGAAUAUUGGUCAAUGGGCGAGAGCCUGAACCAGCCAAGUAGCGUGCCAGGAUGACGGCCCUAUGGGUUGUAAACUGCUUUAUAGGAAUAAAGUGAGUCUCGUGAGGCUUUUUGCAUGUACCUUAUGAAUAAGGACCGGCUAAUUCCGUG
rnacentral:rRNA from 1 species